rnacentral:tRNA from 1 species
GCCUUCGUGGUGUAGUGGUCAGCACGCUCGGCGGCUAUGCGAGAGGUCCGUGGUUCGAGUCCCGGCGAGGGCA